AACAACACCAUUGACUGGAAGGGAUUCCUUCCGGUUGAGGAGGCUGUUACACCUCAUUGACCGGAAGGAAUCCCUUCCAGUUGAUGAGGUUGUU
rnacentral:miRNA from 1 species